GAUGAACGCUGGCGGCGUGCCUAAUACAUGCAAGUCGAGCGAACAGAUAAGGAGCUUGCUCCUUUGACGUUAGCGGCGGACGGGUGAGUAACACGUGGGUAACCUACCUAUAAGACUGGGAUAACUUCGGGAAACCGGAGCUAAUACCGGAUAACAUUUGGAACCGCAUGGUUCUAAAGUGAAAGAUGGUUUUGCUAUCACUUAUAGAUGGACCCGCGCCGUAUUAGCUAGUUGGUAAGGUAACGGCUUACCAAGGCGACGAUACGUAGCCGACCUGAGAGGGUGAUUGGCCACACUGGAACUGAGACACGGUCCAGACUCCUACGGGAGGCAGCAGUAGGGAAUCUUCCGCAAUGGGCGAAAGCCUGACGGAGCAACGCCGCGUGAGUGAUGAAGGGUUUCGGCUCGUAAAACUCUGUUAUUAGGGAAGAACAAAUGUGUAAGUAACUGUGCACGUCUUGACGGUACCUAAUCAGAAAGCCACGGCUAACUACGUG
rnacentral:rRNA from 1 species